rnacentral:rRNA from 1 species
UACAGGGGGUGCAAACGUUGCUCGGAAUCAUUGGGCGUAAAGCGCACGUAGGCGGUCUGUUAUGUCGGAUGUGAAAGCCCUUGGCUCAACUGAGGAAGUGCAUCCGAAACUGGCAGGCUAGAGUACUAAAGAGGAUCGCGGAAUUCCCGGUGUAGAGGUGAAAUUCGUAGAUAUCAGGAGGAACACCGGUGGCGAAGGCGGUUCUCUGGGCAUGACCUGACGCUGAGGAGCGAAAGUGUGGGGAGCGAACAGG